rnacentral:lncRNA from 1 species
GGAUCUUGGUUUGGAUGACUUGUUGAAGCACUGCGAGGGUUUGUUGGAGAAGCUGCGUUUCCCUGAGAAAGAUCCCUGUUUUCACGCUAUGGCUGGAACGCUGCUCUACACGCACACCGCACUAGAGAUGCUCCACAACUACAACCGGAUCACCGCAGCGGUGGAGAAGGUGGAGUUGCUGUGGCAGCAGGUGUUCUCCAGAGCCCACGUCCAGCUGCAGCUCCUCCAUCUGCAGCGAGAGGCCCAGCAGAUACAGGAGCAGAUGUUUGUGUUGCACAGGGAGAAAGUCCAGCCCUACAGGAUCGAAGUGGCUAAAGACGUGCACAGAGCUGAAGAGAUCCGGCAGGAGUUUGAGGCUUCAGUAUACACUCAUGCAAUGGUACGUCACACUUUAGGGUAUGUGUACAGGACAGCGUAGUACAAGCACACAUCAGAUUUCUCUAAGUGUCUGUACAAUUUGUGAGCUGAGUGCAUGUAUGUGCACUAAUGUUUUAUUUUCUUCUAAUCAGUUUGUUCACAAUGCUAUCAAACAGUGACGCUGGUGUAUGUGUGCAGCUGAAGACAUGAUACAACUGAUGCCUUUAGUCAGAUUCACAGAAACACCUGCUGGAUUAGUUCUUGUCCUGCUUUCAUCGGGCUGUUGAAUAAGACCUCCUGAUUGAAUCCUGUGGUCAAUGAAAUGAGAGGCUGUGUUGUAUAGACCUGUAUUAAUGCAGUGUUCCAGAGGCACAGAAUCUGAGCGUGGAAAUGCCUGGCAGGGUUUGUGACCAGAUCUCUUGUGAGCAGGCGCUGGUUCGUCGCGCGGAGGACGUCAUGCACACGUUAGCGGAGACUGUUCCGUUCAGCGAGAGAAAGCCUGCGGAGCCGUGGCUAGAGGAUUUGUCCAGACUGAAGGAGAACCUCUCCUCUGCUGUUCAGCAUCUGUAUCAGACUCUGAGGACCGUGUCUGACUUCCAUCACACCUGCAACAGAUGUAAGAGCUGGUACGGUGUAGUGCUGCGCGAGAGCCUCCUGCAGGAGCUGCUGUGGAGUGGACGCUGUGACCUGUCCAGCUGCAGGAGAGGAGUGCAGAGCUUCCUCAGGAGAAACCCCUGCCCGGAGGUGCAGGAGCUGGUGAAGCUGGCGCAUCUCGCUAACGCUAUAACCGACCCGCACCUUCGGCAUACUGGCACGCAGCUGUCUCACAGAUGCAUGACUCUGAGGAGACUCUUGACCUCAGCUGGGCCCAUCCCCCUUCACGACCUUCAGCUUGCCCUCCAGUGGCAGUACGAGUUCCUCAAGGGUCACCACACGACCCCUGACAUCACUUCUCCCGAGGACGAGCGUGUUUCCUGCGGUCAUGUGGUUUCUCAGUGUGAGAGCUUGUGUGAUUUGGCCAAGUGGCCUUCUGUUGGCGACUGCCGUCACCAGACCUCGUCCGCUCUGGGAUCUUCUGCAGGCAAACCUCCCUCUCUCAGCUCCUUUGACUCCGGGUUCGAUGGAGCGGCCAGCAGUCACCUGGACAGCAGGAGCAGAAGAGAGCCGCUGCCUAGGAUUCUGGGAAAUGGAGACUCCGCUUUCAAGUCGAAACCUCUGCAUGGACAGAUUGACGAGGAGAACAUUGUGAGCGUGUCUGAUUCUGAAGACCAGCGUGAAGCGCUAGGGUUUAGUUUAAAGCGGGACUCCACUCGUGCCAGCAUUCAGAUCGUUCCCAAAAUUACCUCCGACUCUCUGAACCUUGAGAUCAAGGUGAAGCGCUCCGCUACGCUGCCCAAGAACCCCUGGCUGAGCCUCCCGAUAGAUGAUCUGGAGAGCUCUUAUACGGUCACCAUUACACCCAGCUCCUCCAGAGAGCCGAGGAGCCCCGGCCGGGCUCGAGAUCGGCCCUCUCCGACCGAGGAGCUGGGGUCCGCUCCGCACCAGAGUCAGCAGAGCUUCGAGGAGUCGGAGCUGGAUCCUGUGGGAAACGUUCUGUCCAGUACCUUAACAGAUAUCGAAGACAAGCCCAGCAGCGUGGUGGAUGGGGAUCCUUCUCUUCUCUGGGACACGUUUGAUCUUCACAAUCUCAGACAGGACUCUUACGAACGGUUGGACGUGUCUCUCGGUGACUGGGUUCAGAGAGAGCAACAAGAGCUGAGAGAGGUGGAGGAGACUUUAGACAGAGCAGCUGAGAUACUACAGGAGGAGGAGAAUGUGCUUGCACAGGAGGUGGUGCUGGAUGAGCUGUUGAGGUCAGAGGACUUGCACAAACACUGGCCCUUAUGGACUGAAGGACACCAGCUCGAUCCGAUGUCCCCAAGAGAGCUGGCUGAGUCUGGCGUGAUCGGAUUGGACGACAAUGUCCUUCAGAGUGACCUCACUUCCCCUGAAUCAGAGACGCUGAGAUCCUGUGAGGUUUGUGAAGAUGACUCGGACGCCUCAGGAUUAUCCGAUAAAAGUCCAUCCACACGUGAAGGGCCUGUGCAGCGGGACACGGGAUGCCCUGAGGAGCACCGAAGCGGGAUCCUUCGAGGGCUGAGAGACAUUCACGUUCUGGAGGAGCAAAUUAUUCAGGAGCGUGUGAAGCUGGAGGCACUGCGCUGCAGAGAGACGGAGAGUCUGGAGCCGACGGCAGAUCAGGUGAGGGAGAGGAGCGUGUUCCUGCAGCAGCUGGAGCAGGAGAGACGGCAGGUGGAGAAGAUGGAGAGAAGCCUGAGCAGAGAGAUGGAGAGAGCGGGCAAGGCCAAGAAGAGGCUGAGCAAAGGCCACAGGGUUGUGACGUGUUCGGUCAUGGAGAGGAACUCAAUGCUGAAAGAUCUGGACGAGCUGUUGAGGAGCUGUGGGCUCCAGUCGCUCCCAGACUCACACAAACCUCAGCGCACAGACGUUGAGAGAAACUACUCUGACUUGGUUUCAAACGCAGAGGCGUGCCCCAGUCCAGAUCCAGCUGGAGAUGCUGAUCUCUCAGACUCGAGUUUGACUUCUGAGCCUGCUUCCACCGCGAGCCUCGGACGUCUUGACUCUGAAUCCCUUCAGUCUGGUCACAGUGAGCCGGUUGCAUUGAGUGGUUUGUCUGAGACUGGAAAACUGGAAGUUAUCCCACCCAGAGCAAACGUGCAUCCUGAGCAUUCGGAGGAUGAAGAGUCUUCCUGCGACUGUCCAGACGGUGCAGCUCUGCUGGAGACGGGUGAAGCGUUCUCGACUCAGGACCGUGGUGAUGUGCGAGGUGCGUUUGAUCCUGGAGGCACCUCCGAUGGGAGCGUCGACCGCACUUGUCAACCAGAGGAGAGACGUCCAUCAGACUGUGAAGCACAGGUGGAAUCAGGGCUGUCAGUCGUUCCCUCGAAGCUCAUGCAGAACAACAACAACAACACCGCAUGGCUGUGCAGUGGACAGAGCCCAGGGCACUCCGAGGACUCCAGGUCUGUGGUCCGUGACGCUGGAGGAUCCACGAGAGCGGCCUGCGGAUCUACUCUCCAGCAGCUGCAGCUCCACGCAUCCAGCAGACAGGUGGAGACCACAGCCUCCUCAGAAAACACACUACGCUUGAGUUAUAAUUAUUGUUUUAACAAUAGUGAAGUCACUCACUUUGCAAAAAUUCAAAACCAUUUCUGA